UACAGAGGUCUCAAGCGUUGUUCGGAUUCAUUGGGCGUAAAGGGUGCGUAGGUGGCGCGGUAAGUCGGGUGUGAAAUUUCGGAGCUUAACUCCGAAACUGCAUUCGAUACUGCCGUGCUUGAGGACUGGAGAGGAGACUGGAAUUUACGGUGUAGCAGUGAAAUGCGUAGAGAUCGUAAGGAAGACCAGUGGCGAAGGCGGGU
rnacentral:rRNA from 1 species